CAGUCGCCACGGUAAUACGUAGGUGGCAAGCGUUGUCCGGAAUUAUUGGGCGUAAAGGGCUCGCAGGCGGUUUCUUAAGUCUGAUGUGAAAGCCCCCGGCUCAACCGGGGAGGGUCAUUGGAAACUGGGAAACUUGAGUGCAGAAGAGGAGAGUGGAAUUCCACGUGUAGCGGUGAAAUGCGUAGAGAUGUGGAGGAACACCAGUGGCGCAGGCGACUCUCUGGUCUGUAACUGACGCUGAGGAGCGAAAGCGUGGGGAGCGAACAGGAUUAGAUACCCCCGUAGUCCCUGUCUCUUAUAC
rnacentral:rRNA from 1 species